rnacentral:rRNA from 1 species
CCUACGGGUGGCAGCAGUGGGGAAUAUUGGACAAUGGGGGAAACCCUGAUCCAGCGACGCCGCGUGAGUGAAGCAGUAUUUCGGUACGUAACGCUCUAUCAGCAGGGACGAAAAUGACGGUACCUGACUAAGUAUCCCCUGCUAACGACUUUCCAGCAGCCGCGGUAAUACGUCGUGGGCAAGCGUUAUCCGGAUUUACUGGGGGUAAAGGGAACGUAGACGGCAGCGCAAGUCUGGAGUGAAAUGCCCGGGCCCAUCCCCGGAACUGCUCUGGAAACUGUGAAGCUGGAGUGAAGGAGAGGUGAGCAGAAUUCCUGGUGUAGCGGUGAAAUGCGUAGAUAUCAGGAGGAACACCGGCGGCGAAGGCGGCUUACUGGACUGUAACUGACGUUGAGGCUCGAAGGCGUGGGGAGCAAACAGGAUUAGAUACCCUAGUAGUC